rnacentral:rRNA from 1 species
AUUGAACGCUGGCGGCAUGCCUUACACAUGCAAGUCGAACGGCAGCGCGGGGCAACCUGGCGGCGAGUGGCGAACGGGUGAGUAAUAUAUCGGAACGUACCCUAGAGUGGGGGAGUAACGUAGCGAAAGUUAACGUCUAAUACCGCAUACGAUCUAAGGAUGAAAGUAGGGGGAGUCGCAAGACCUCAUGCUCGUGGAGCGGCCGAUAUCUGAUUAGCUAGUUGGUGGGGAAAGGCCUACCAAGGCAUCGAUCAGUAGCUGGUCUGAGAGGACGACCAGCCACACUGGAACUGAGACACGGUCCAGACUCCUACGGGAGGCAGCAGUGGGGAAUUUUGGACAAUGGGCGCAAGCCUGAUCCAGCAAUGCCGCGUGAGUGAAGAAGGCC